rnacentral:rRNA from 1 species
UACGUAGGAGGCGAGCGUUGUCCGGAGUUACUGGGCGUAAAGGGUGCGCAGGCGGCGUCACGCGUGGCUAGAUGAAUCUCCUGGCUUACCUGGGAGGAUGGUAGCCAGACGGUGGCGCUUGAGGGUCGGAGAGGGGCGUGGAAUCCGGGUGGAGCGGUGAAAUGCGCAGAUAUCAGGAAGAACACCCGUGGCUAAGGCGGCUCUCUAGUACGGUACUGACGCUGAGACGCGAAAGCGUGGGGAGCGAACAGG